rnacentral:rRNA from 1 species
UACGGAGGAUGCAAGCGUUAUCCGGAAUGAUUGGGCGUAAAGCGUCCGCAGGUGGCUGUGUAAGUCUGCUGUUAAAGAGUGAGGCUCAACCUCAUAAAGGCAGUGGAAACUACAUGGCUAGAGUGCGUUCGGGGCAGAGGGAAUUCCUGGUGUAGCGGUGAAAUGCGUAGAGAUCAGGAAGAACACCGGUGGCGAAAGCGCUCUGCUAGGCCGCAACUGACACUGAGGGACGAAAGCUAGGGGAGUGAAUGGG